UAAUAAGGAAAGUGUGUCGUCUGAAUUGAGAAAGAGUAAAACAUGAUAUAAUAAUCUGAUCUCCCGAAUAAAAAGAAACAAAAAAAUAAAAAUAAAAAAAAUCUAUGAAUCAAAAUCUGUUCAUCUGAUCUAGAGAAAUGGUUGACGUGCCCAAAACCUCGACGUCACAAAAUACCAUAGGAGAAACCAGUUCGGAAGGAGAAGUGGGGGAUAGCAAGCCGACAGGCAGUGAGGCAGUCAAGUUGCAGAACGAAAUCCUUUCAUCUCGAAGUGGCAGCUUCAACUUUGCUACUCCUCAUCCACAAAUCAGUCAACUCAUGACUUGAAACGUCCAUUGGGGACGAACAAGGAAAUGGUAAUUCUUUCACAGGUUCAGAUUAAUUCGUCCCCAGCUCGACUGUUUUCCAAAAUACGCCUUAUCGCCCACAGGUACAGAGUAAUUCUGCCCACCUAUAUAAAAAUAUCUUAACAUUUUUUCGUCGAAAUUGAACCUUGAUAACCCUGCCCACCUAUAUAAAAAUAUCUUAACAUUUUUUCGUCGAAAUUGAACCUUGAUAACCCGUAUUUUGUAUCCCGUUUCAUUGACCACUAAUCCACAAUUUGGGUGCAGUAAAUGAUAAUUUUGUUUUCUAGUAUCCUUUUUUUCUCUGUUUCUUUUUGGUUGGUUCGCGCCAUGGGGUGGGGGGGACGUCAAUAGGGGUUCAGAGGUUUUUAUGGAGGAAUUUUAAGUCGGGGGAGGGGAUGAAGAUUGAAAACAGUAGAGUGAGGAGAAAAUAAAAGAGGAGUUGCUUGCAUCCCUUUUUUUUCAUUUUUGUUGAUCUCCCAAAAAAAUAGAGAGAAGUGAAGUUUACAUUUCUGUAGCGGCAGAAUAGAAGAAAAUGAUCUGCCUUCUCUGAAUCUAUACAUAAUAACUCAGACCCAACUUUCGUCAAGUAAUAGCUAUAUUAUUGACCCAAACCAUCUACGGAGCCCCCUACUAGGAAGGAAGAAACGUAAGACUAAAAAUUACAUAUUCCUCUAGAAUCACUAAAAUUAGCAAGCUGUGAGAGGGUGUAAUGGUUAGAUCUCCUUGUGGAGGAAAAAAAUUUGUGGAAAGUGUAAACCUAAUUCAUGAACUUUCGGCAGUUUGGAGCUUUACACAGGCAAGGAACUUUGAAUUCUUCACAUUCGUCUGGAUCAAACAAGUAGUCAUACCUGUCAUUAUUGCAGCCAAAUAAAAUAAAUCAGGGGCAGACUUGCUAAUAUUCAGGCAUUAAUGUGUGCGUGUAUGAGAGAGAGAGAGAGAGAGAUACGUUAAUUCAUCACCAGCAGACACAUUUGUCUUUGCGAUAAGUACAACCCGACUCUCAUCAGCCCCUACACUCAUGAUCCUUGCAUAACAGUUUGGCAUGCACUGUGAAAAUAACAAAGCAAAAGAUCGAAAAGAGUCAAGUACGAGGAACCAUCGAUAAAGGUAACCUGAGAAUGAAAAUAUUGCAUCUAUUGACUUACUAAAUUUGCUGACUACAGAUAAAUUAUAAGUAGAAGGGAUAUGACUUGAAUGGGGCACAAAAUUCCUAGCAUUACCAGGUCUAAGGAGACUUUGCCAUGAUAGGUUGUACAAAAAUAUUUGGAGUAUAUUGAAACAUAUUUAUCAAUCAAAAUGUACACUGAAGCAUAUUUUAUCUGGUUCUAGAUAAGGCUCCAGUCAGAUAAAUUUUCUCUGAUAUUAGAUUAGGUUCAGACUACAGACAAGUUUAGACAUCCUAAUAUAAUCUUGUGCGGUAUGAUUGGUACUCAAUUCUUUUGCCCUGUUAAAAUCAUCAAUGACAUUAAUCUCAUUAAAGCAGUAACACCAUAAUGCAAUCACUGUUCCCAUUUGUUAUUAGCCAAGCAAAACUAUUUACAACUAAAAAUCACUAGGUGAUGGGGAGAGUAUAAUGCAGCCGCUGUUCCCAUUUAUUAUUAGCCGAGCAAAACUAUUAUCAACCCAAAAUCACUAGGUGAUGGGGAGAGCUACCCAGUACAUGUGAUGGAACUGCGAUUACUCUUCAUUAUCAUUUGCACUCAUUUGGUGAUUCCUCGGUGAAGCAUGAGCUUCACAUGCAUAUAUACUUGCAAUGUGUAAAUAGGUGGCUUGGCCUGGAUUUAAUAACCGUUUGUACCAGCUGUAUGGGCUGACAUUUUAUAACCAGAAUUCCUUUUUCUUUUAUUUUUUUCCCUUCAGAUUAGUGAAAUUUGAAAUUCCACAUUUCUCUUUAUUCAGCAUCAUCCUUUAGUCAGCUCCAAAACCAACGUAAUGGGAUUGAAACUGAUCUCCUUCAGUUUUACCUGAUUUAGUACACACUAGUCUUUGCCUUUUCAUUUGCUGGUUUUGAUAACAAGGACCAGCACAAAGUUAAUACUACAUGAAAAAGAAUAGAUAAAAAGGAAACUAUGAUCACUUUCUCAAGAAAAAAGAAAAGGAUUGACAAGAUCUAAAGAGCACGGUAGAAGGAAGAAGCACCAUCAAACAUAAUAAUUCUAGUUUGAUUCCAAAGAUGGAGAGAAGCAUCAGAAACAAUGAAAGAAAAGUGAUACUUACUGAAUGGUUAAUUAAACGUGCAAUGUUCCCCUUAUCAGUGGCGUCCACCACAACUUCUUCACUAAUCUUAAAUAACUGCAUAUGAUAAUUCAAUGACAUUAAUUGGUGCUUGUGACCACGUACGGGUUGGAGAGAGGGAGAGAGGGAGAGAGAGAGAGAGAAAGCACAAAGAAAAGAGUGAAAAGAACCUACAUAGCAAUCUUUUCCCUCAACACGAUACCGUGCCUCCCUUAAAUCUGCAACACUUCGUCUGAUCUGCUCACCACGAUACUCAAGAACCUGAAACAAGUAAAUGCAUGCUCUACUAAGUAACUUCUAGAUUUGAUGCUGAAAUAAUUAGAAAUACGAGCACUUCGGUUAGUAAGUGAUUAUUGAGAUGAAAGAUGAUCAUGUAGCAUACUCAAGCAAGGAGGAACUAGUUCUCAUUGGAAAUGUUCACAGGUUAUGACACAAAAAUCAUUGACUAUCGAGAAAAGCUCCUAAACAUGAAAUUUAGGACUCCACUUCCAAGCGAUUACUCGGACUGCCGUUUCUUUCUUUUCAUAAUAUGAUCAACGCAUUGACUAUGGGCAACCCGGUAAGAACUAAAAAAGAUUAAUGUACCAUCUCUCCUUCUGGUAUAUUUCUACGAGCAAACAGACCCCAUCUAUGUAUCCCAGAUCUACCAAAGCAAACACGAUCAUUUUCUGUUCUCUGCAAUUGCAAAAUAAGAUGAAGAUGCUGAGAAUAUGAGCUGAAAUGCUGUUAACGUGAUGAGCAGCAGUGUUAAAAAGAAUGCCUGUAAAUCACGAAGCCGCUCCCUAAAGGUAGAAAAUGUUUUGGAUCCCUUGACUUCCUGUUAAAAGGAAGAACGGAAUAAUAUUUAAAAAAACACCAUAGAAGCUAAGAGAGAAACUAGUGACAGGAGAACAUUACUUUACGUAGGAAGGAGGGAAGGAUAUGGGAGGGAGGAAGAAAUUUACUUUAAUAAUGUUCAAACUCCGUAUUGAACUUGAAGAAUGGUGACAAGGUCCCCUCACGUGGUGGGCAAUGGCAGAUUCUCCUGCUCCCUGACAAGCAAAAAAUAAGGAGAUUCAUAACUGGCAACCCUUUAGGAUGAUUAAACAACAGACACCAGCUAGUUAAAAAUUUGUGAUAAGAAAGCAAAUGAGUGAAUGUCAACUAAAAAACUUAAACCACAAACAUAACAUACCAAUCAAUACCAGGUAGCAUAACUAGAAAAUUUAAGGUAGUUAAAAAGCAUGACUAAAAGCAAUUAUGGUUAUUGGACUUAUAAAUAGAACAAACCACGGAUAGAUAUUAAGUAUCGACUAAUAAGCAAAGUGUAGAUAGAUAUCAGAACAAAGUUUAGUUCUUAUAUCUCUAAUGUCUUCUCGUGCACAGAGAUGCUAAUAAUGAAUUCACACAUCAAGAGUUUCAUGGUUCAAAAAACCAAAAGGGAGCAACGCUUUUCAGUUGCCCAGUGUCAUAAAGACGCUAUUUAGGGAAAAUGCGGACAAGUUUAGGGGGCCGCUUAUGACUUUGGCCUUAAAUAAAACAUAAAUUCUUUCAUUUCCUUCCUGUGUAUAUUAAUAAAACUUAGCAUAAUCAAUCAUAACAUUGUGUAUUAGUAACAUGGUGUAAUACCUUAUCACGCAAUCGAUUAUAAACACGACACCUUGCUGCAGAGAAUGGCUUGAUCUCCUCUAUCUCUGCUGCUGGAGCUUCCUGGAGUUGCAGUCUACUUGUUGAAAUUAGACGUGAACCUGUGUGCUUACUGUUUUGAAGAAGGCUUCUAGCAGAGAAUACACCUUUGGGAGUUUGAAUAAUGAGGACGGUAUCCGGAUUGGGAGCCCUG
rnacentral:lncRNA from 1 species